UUGUUCGAAUGAAUGGCAGUUGGAAGUGGACGAAUUAUUCUGUAAACAAUGUAAACAUUGUUUACACAGAGCCAUCCGGAUGCGACCGAAGUGGAAGAACGCUAAGUAACAAUUUUUCGACGAAUGACGUUAGCGACAUAUUUGAACGGAUUGGAUCCGUGUAUCUUGUGCCACACUGAUGGAAUACUUGUCGACAAUGAAGAUGAUCCGCUGUUUGUAGUGUAUUCUGCAGAAACUCUUGAGUGAAGUGAGAUUAUUGAGUAGCAGUUGCGAGCUACCUGGCGGUAGCAAAAAAGCAUGCACCUUCAGCACUGAUGAAAGGGCAAGCGGAUGCCGUCCAUCCCUUUUGAACAGAUCCAACCUAUCAGAAAUGCGAAACAUUGCCCUGUAAUGCAUAAAAAUUCAUCUGUUAACUCAAUUUCACACAGAGAGUGUCUCGCAUACGAUCAGUUCGCUGGGUUCUUAUUUUGCGAGACGGGUUAUAAAAGUAACCGGUUUUGAGAAAUACUCCACGUACACCUCGGCCGUUAGUGCAAAUGGACAUACCAGAGUCGCAGAUUUGCGAGAAGGCACUGGCUAAGGACUUUGACUUGACAUGUCUAACAUUCGUGCCAUAAGUAUUUGGAUGUCAUGUGUACGAAUUUCUUCCAGCCAAUUCAUCGAAGCAUUGGUACAUUUACAUCUGCUGAUCGGAAUCGAAGCGGUGGUUCUCUAUUUCAACAUCUUUAGGUUUUCGGAUGGCAUUCAUAGCAACAAAACUACAAACAGGUAAAACACCGUCUUGUUCGUAGACUGUUGGAGUCAAUCUACCAGCUACUGCCGAAAAAAGCAACCUAGUAAAUAUUUAAGGCGAUUCGAGCUAUUGGACAUUUCGCUUAAAAUGUUACUGCAGAACUCACUACACUGCUUAAGUGAAAUAUACAGUGAUGGUGAGUGUUCUCAUAGAUUUUUGGUUCAAGGACAUUAA